ACUUUUUUAUUAUAAUUAUUAUAUUUGAUUUCCAAUCAAAAGAUCUUGAAGAUAAAUCAAGAAAAAGUA
rnacentral:tRNA from 1 species